CCUGCUCCUAGAGACAUUGUAGGUGUGGCUGCUCUGUCACUUGCACGGCUGUAGAUGACAGAGAGGAGAGAGGCUAUGUCUAUGUUCCGUGUUCUGACCUUUGAACAUCUGAAUAAUUAGUAACUAACACU